UACAGAGGGGGCGAGCGUUGUUCGGAAUUACUGGGCGUAAAGGGCGCGUAGGCGGCCCGCUGAGUCGAACGUGAAAUCCCCAGGCUCAACCUGGGAACUGCGUCCGAUACUGGCAGGCUUGAAUCCGGGAGAGGGAUGUGGAAUUCCAGGUGUAGCGGUGAAAUGCGUAGAUAUCAGGAGGAACACCGGUGGCGAAGGCGGAUCUCUGGGCCGAUACUGACGCUGAGACGCGAAAGCGUGGGGAGCAAACAGG
rnacentral:rRNA from 1 species